GUGAACGCCCUCACGGGCUUAUAACUAUUCCAAACCUCUGUGAACCGUGCCCUUCGGGGCUAUUUUACAAACACGGUGUAAUGAACGUCAUAUAUCAUAACAAAACA
rnacentral:misc_RNA from 1 species